rnacentral:tRNA from 1 species
GGCUCCUUAGUUCUCUGGGAGGGCGGUUGUCUUACAAGCAGCAAUAGGAGAGUUCGAUUCUCUCAGGAGCUACCA